UUCAAACGAUCUCGAUAGUUUAGUAGUGUAUUCUUUGUUAUUAAAAUGAAUUCUUUUGUGUUCUUUCUAUUGGUGUCAGUUCUAUUGCUGCAGACAACCACCGCACACUGGAUAGGCCGCGGUUUCGGUUACCCGCGGCCGGUCGUGAUCGGCGGUUUCGGUGGUUUCGGAGGUUUCGGCGGUUACCCUGGUUACUACCGCGGAUACGGUUUCGGUUACGGACCGCUGCUGCCCCCACCCCCGCCCCCACUCUUCUUCGGAUGAAACAAACAAGAAUAAUGAAUGAAAAAAUGUGAAUUGAAUUUUGGUUUGAAAUAAAGGCUUAUUGAGUUGAAUAU